CGGCCGUUUUCAAUAACGUAUCUGAGUUUUCGGAUAGAUAGCUAUCUCCGAAUAUCAGCAAGAGCGUAUCUAUCCUUAGUUUGCGUUUCACAAUCACGGAUAAGUGCUAUCUCUCUUUAACCAACAGUAGAUAGCUUCUUCCCUCCGAUUUAUCCGAGCCUCUUGAUACGUUUCGUUCUACUACAAAUACGAAACAACAUCAGGAUCAAGACUUAUUUUAUUUUAUUCUAAAUUAUAACUAUAAUUUAACCAGCAUAUUGUAGACUAUCAUAAACACAUUUGUUUAUAACAAAAAGUAAUAAAAACAUAUGUAGAUUUUUUUAAAUUGGACGUAUUGCUAUUUUUAUCCUAGUCGAAAUUAUGAAACGAAACGUUUUGACAGUCCGUUUGCCAAUAAGCAGUGAUCAGUUUCUUUUGUUUGUUUUUCUAUUGUUUACCUACUAUAUUAGAUGAUGACUUACCUCCAAAACGCUUUAAAACUUUCGUUUAUAAUUCUAAGUGUGUUUAUAAUUAAAGAGCUACAGUGAAAUAAAAUGAAUUCUGUAAGUAUCUAUGAAGUACAUUGAUAAUAAUAAUUUUACUUUGAAAACUUUGAGUUCAAGUUUAGAAAAUAUAUCUUUUUCAGUCAAGAAACGCAGCAACCAUGACAAAAGAUGAGACGAUGAUUCUAGCAGAACUUGUGGCGGCGAAAAAACAUUUGAAUAAUAAGGCAACAAAUGCCACAAACAAUAAAUUGAAGCAGCAGGCUUGGCGAACCCUUGUAAAUGAUUUUAAUUCGUCGAUUCGUCGUUUCCCACGAACUCCAUCGCAGCUUCGACUAAAAUGGGAAAACUUAAAGAACGCUACGGCAACAUAAGAAACAACCUUAGUAAGGCUGGAGGUGGUAAGGAUUGCAGAUGAAAUUUUGGAUAAAGCAUGCACAUUGUUGUAGGUCACAUAUAAUAUUUUUAACACUUUUACAGCCAAGCGGAAACAAGAUGGAAGAAAAGAAAUGCAAGGCUAGCAUAGGGACAAUGCAUUAGCAGAAUAUCUAAUAGCAAAAAAGAGACUUGACUUGGAAAAUAAAGAAAAGGAGAUUGUUGUAGCAAAAGUUAAGUUAGAUUUAGAUAAUUUAAAAAAUAAAAAAUUACUUAAAAGGAAUAUUAAAUUUCAUUAAUUAAGUAGGCAAUAAUAAUUUUAUGUUAGAUAGUUUUUUAAGUAUAUGUACAAAUUCUAAAUUAAAUAUCUUGCAUGUACUAACUACCAUGUAAUUAUCAUUUUGGAAAAUAAAAAAUAGUCAAAUUA